GUGAAGCUGGAUUCGCUAGUAAUCGCGCAUCAGCCAUGGCGCGGUGAAUACGUUCCCGGGCCUUGUACACACCGCCCGUCAAGCCAUGGAAGCCGGGGGCGCUUGAAGUGCGUUGCCGCAAGGCGCGCCCUAGAGCGAAACCGGUGACUGGGGCUAAGUCGUAACAAGGUAUC
rnacentral:rRNA from 1 species